CCUACGGGAGGCUGCAGUGGGGAAUAUUGGACAAUGGGCGAAAGCCUGAUCCAGCCAUGCCGCGUGUGUGAAGAAGGCCUUCGGGUUGUAAAGCACUUUCAGUGGGGAAGAAAGCCUUGGGGCUAAUACCCUCGAGGAAGGACAUCACCCACAGAAGAAGCACCGGCUAACUCCGUGCCAGCAGCCGCGGUAAUACGGAGGGUGCGAGCGUUAAUCGGAAUUACUGGGCGUAAAGCGCGCGUAGGUGGUCUGAUAAGCCGGUUGUGAAAGCCCCGGGCUCAACCUGGGAACGGCAUCCGGAACUGUCAGGCUAGAGUGCAGGAGAGGAAGGUAGAAUUCCCGGUGUAGCGGUGAAAUGCGUAGAGAUCGGGAGGAAUACCAGUGGCGAAGGCGGCCUUCUGGACUGACACUGACGCUGAGGUGCGAAAGCGUGGGUAGCAAACAGGAUUAGAUACCCUGGUAGUC
rnacentral:rRNA from 1 species